rnacentral:lncRNA from 1 species
AAGGAAGAAAGAUAGAUAGAAGAGGGUAUGUAGAAGAGAGAGGGGAGCGGCACUAGGAGUAGGACCUCUCCUAAAAUUUUUGAGAUGUGAAAAAGAGAUCUGUGAAGGAAUAUAGUAUCGUACUAGGGUUAGUACCUCUCCUAGACUUAUGAAGAAAAGAAAUAGGAGGAGAGAGAGAGAAAAGCUUGAAGAAAAUUUAGGAUUGGCUUGAUUCGAGAAGAUAGAGGUCUUGAGAUUCUAUUUAUAGAGUGGAGAGGCUAGGGUUUCAUGAAAAAAGAGGUGGGAGCGUAAAUAAGGAUCCUUGGAUCUUUAUGAAGAGUGAUCUUUUAAUAUGAGCUUUUGAGAUUUAAAUCGUGUUCACAUUUAGUUCCAUUUAUCUUCUAAUCUGAACUUUUAAUUGGAGAGGCUGCUUCUUGACCCU